UGUCGGAUUACUGGGCGUAAGAGCUCGUAGGUGGUUUGUCGCGUUGUUCGUGAAAACCCACAGCUUAACUGUGGGCGUGCGGGCGAUACGGGCAGACUAGAGUACUGCAGGGGAGACUGGAAUUCCUGGUGUAGCGGUGGAAUGCGCAGAUAUCAGGAGGAACACCGGUGGCGAAGGCGGGUCUCUGGGCAGUAACUGACGCUGAGGAGCGAAAGCGUGGGGAGCGAACAGGAUUAGAUACCCUGGUAGUCCACGCCGUAAACGGUGGGUACUAGGUGUGGGUUUCCUUCCUUGGGAUCCGUGCCGUAGCUAACGCAUUAAGUACCCCGCCUGGGGAGUACGGCCGCAAGGCUAAAACUCAAAGAAAUUGACGGGGGCCCGCACAAGCGGCGGAGCAUGUGGAUUAAUUCGAUGCAACGCGAAGAACCUUACCUGGGUUUGACAUGCACAGGACGCCAGUAGAGAUAUUGGUUCCCUUGUGGCCUGUGUGCAGGUGGUGCAUGGCUGUCGUCAGCUCGUGUCGUGAGAUGUUGGGUUAAGUCCCGCAACGAGCGCAACCCUUAUCUUAUGUUGCCAGCGCGUAAUGGCGGGGACUCGUGAGAGACUGCCGGGGUCAACUCGGAGGAAGGUGGGGAUGACGUCAAGUCAUCAUGCCCCUUAUGUCCAGGGCUUCACACAUGCUACAAUGGCCGGUACAAAGGGCUGCGAUGCCGUGAGGUGGAGCGAAUCCUUUCAAAGCCGGUCUCAGUUCGGAUCGGGGUCUGCAACUCGACCCCGUGAAGUCGGAGUCGCUAGUAAUCGCAGAUCAGCAACGCUGCGGUGAAUACGUUCCCGGGCCUUGUACACACCGCCCGUCACGUCAUGAAAGUCGGUAACACCCGAAGCCGGUGGCCUAACCCUUGUGGAGGGAGCCGUCGAAGUGGGAUCGGCGAUUGGGACGAAGUCGUACAAGUACUCGU
rnacentral:rRNA from 1 species